ACCUGGUCUUGACAUCCCGGAGACCCUUGGAACUAGGGGUGCUUCCAUCUGGAAGAAUCUGGAGACAGGUGCUGCAUGGCUGUCGUCAGCUCGUGUCGUGAGAUGUUGGGUUAAGUCCCGCAACGAGCGCAACCCUUGCCUUUAGUUGCCAGCAGUUCGGCUGGGCACUCUAAAGGGACUGCCGGUGUUAAACCGGAGGAAGGUGGGGAUGACGUCAAGUCCUCAUGGCCUUUAUGACCAGGGCUACACACGUACUACAAUGGCCGAUACAAAGGGCAGCGACACUGCGAGGUGAAGCCAAUCCCGUAAAAUCGGUCUCAGUCCGGAUUGGAGUCUGCAACUCGACUCCAUGAAGUUGGAAUCGCUAGUAAUCGUGGAUCAGCAUGCCACGGUGAAUACGUUCCCGGGCCUU
rnacentral:rRNA from 1 species